GGCAGCGACAGCGCCUCCGGCACGGGCCCAGCCCCCGCGGGCAGCGGCCACGGCCGUGCCGGAGCAGCGGCAGCAGCCGCGCCGGGGAGGAGGAGUGCCGGCGGCUUGGCCAGAGCGGCGGCAGCCGGGGCCGGGGCAGGGUCUCCCCGCUCCGCCCGCCGCCGGUGCCCGCAGCCGCCGUGCCCAGCAGUGUCCGGCGGCAGGCGGAGGUGCUCCCCGGCCGGCGAGGCGGGGGUGGUGCCGCGUUGCCGCCGCCGCGGAGCGGAGCGGAGCGGCCGCAUCUUCAUCUUCAUCCUCCUCCUCCCCCUCCCCGCGGCGCGACCCCGCCGGCUGCCCCCGCCCAGAGGGGCGGGAAGGCAGCGGGCGCUGCCCGCGGUCGAGGCGCGGCCCGAAGGGGCUCCGCAUGGCGUUCCCUCACCCGCCCGCUGCCGCCGAUAAAUCCCAGUGCCGAGGGCAGCGCGGCACUUGGCGGCUGCUGCGCUGCGGGGAGGCGGCGGAGCUCGGGCCCCUCCCCGCGGCGGCGACCCCCAACAGGAGCCGGAGCUCAGGAAAACAAUGAACAGGAUGAAACCUGGAAGCUUUUUGCUGCUCUGUUGAAUAUGGAAUUAUUAAAAAAAAAAAAAAUACUGCACCGAGAGCAUCUCUUUCAAAUGGAUAACUUCUGAACCUGGAACUCUUCAUUACCAACUU
ensembl:lncRNA